AAGCUGGAAGGUGAGGUGAUUGCCUCCUACAUCGUCGCCAGCCUUGACGCUGAUAUCAACCCUGUUGUCUCUGCCAUGCCAGCACACACCGAGCCACUAUCGCUUGGGGAACUCUACACACAGCUAGUCAGUGGGAGC
rnacentral:snoRNA from 1 species